CGUAAAAUUCUAACCAAUUUUGAAAGCAAGCCCAAAUCGAUUUGUUAUUCCAUACAAAUAUUUACGUGUUUACAUAUUUGCUGAAAGAUGUCUAUGACCUAGCGGAUGCCGUAUAUCGUACAUCUACGGCAUCCUUCAUAUUGGAAGCGUAAUUUAUUGUUUUUCUACGAUUUUCUAGGGUAAAUUACGGGUUUACGUCAUAUACGUCAAAAACCUCGAAAAACGCAAAAUUGCCUAACCCUCGUCGAGUCCCAAUUAUUCGUUGGAAUGAAGCGUGAUAAAAAUUUCCUGAUUAAAGUUGAAUGGUAUUCGGUGCAUAACACCGUUAAGGAUCGAUUGAUCAAUGGAUCUUUAGUGUGCGAUUUUAGUGCUUCUAAUCGGAUCUUAAAAAGAACAAAGAUGUUGAACCAUGUAUUGAAAGAAUGUCCUCGUUUGAAAAAGUAUCAGCAGUACAAAGACAUUAUAUCACAGCUGCGUAAGCAUGUUUCAGACAAUAGCGAAACCGAUGACAGACAUGUUCCAUGUGCCGACUUUGGUAACAAAAUUAAUGGAAGUUUUGACAAUUCUGUUCACAAGAUUGAUUUUGAUAAUAAUGUUUCAUGCAAUAAUGCCAAUGUUUCUUAUCAGAAUGAUGAUCAAAGCAUGAUACAGGAUAAUCGUGAGAAAUUGAGAUUUCAAUGUAAUUCAAAACCCGAAACAACAUCACAUGAGAUAUGCCAGGCAAAAGUGCAUAAGCAAAGGUAUAAAUUCUUACAAACAAGUAGAGAUACAACUUCAUAUUUACCUGUAUCUGUUCAUACAAUUGAUGCUGAAAAUAGUGAUUGGAAUAAAAAUGAGAUUCUUCCCUUUCAAAGCACCAAAAACGAUCCAAAAAUGUUUAAGCAGACGAAAAAAGGUAUGAGGACUAUGAAUCAUUCUUAUGAGAAGAUAUCUGUUGAGAAGGACAAGUUAAAUAAGCAAAUGCCAUUAGGAAGCAUUUCUGAUUUAAUUGAGAACAAUCAAAGGAAAAUAACAUUCUAUUUUAAUAAAAAACCUUGCUCCGACUACUGUCAUGACAGAUUACUGUCAAAAACCCAUGCUAAUUCAGUAGAGAAAAAACAAAGGAAAAUAACAUUCUAUUUUAAGAAAAAGCUCUACACUGAAUGUCAUGAUAAUAAGAUAGAAGAAAGAACUCUGGGACAAAAAUCAGAGUUGAAUUUUGCAAGCAAAGGAUGCAAUGUAUCCAAUAAGAAUUUAUCUCAUGAAAUACCCUGCAAAGAAUUGAACAAAAAUAAUGAAGUGGCUAAAGUGAAUAUUACUAGCAUUGAAGUGAAUUCAAAUCAAUUUUUGGAAAAGCAAAAACAUAACAUAAGAGAAUUAAAUGAGAUAAAUGAAAUGGGAGAAACAUUUCAACAAAAUAUACAGAACAAUGACACAAUGACAAAAUACAAAGAAGAAAAUAAACGUGUUUCUACAGACUUAUGUGACUAUAAUUUACAUAGUUUAUAUAGAGAGCAAAGCCUAUCCACUUUGUUCAGUGAAAUAUCUACCGCCGAGAGUACACGAGUAUGUGAGAGUAAUUCUAGUAUUAUUAAAUCAAUUUGUAAAGAUGUGCAAGAAUUGAUGCUGCAGAAUUAUAUGCCUGGUCUAGGAAAUUCAGGAAUUAAAGAUAAUUCUGAAAACCAUCAUUCAAAUGAUUAUAGAAGAAACAUAGAGAAAACUCCUUUAACUGUAAAUAUGUGCAAAAAUAAGACCAUACAAAACACAUCACAUCGAUUGAACACUGGAAAUUUAGAUUCAGUUUUCACAUAUGGCUGCUGUAAUGCACCAAUGCAAAUAUGUGGAAAACAUUCUGGAGUGAUUAAUGGAAAAAUGUUAAGAGAAAAUGGGAAUCAUCAAAUUAUUCAGAGAGAUCAAUCAUUACAUGAAAGUAUUAAUAUGAUUCCUAAUAUGAAGAUCGAAGAAAAUCAUUUGGCAAAAAUACAAGACAAUAUUGAAGUGCCAAUCCAGCAACACAAGACUAACAACAAAGCGAGUCCUUUACAUAUAACACCAUUUAAUGAAGGUCCAAUUAUGGGGCACAAUUCAAAUAAUGUGCAACUGAAAAAGAUACUUCCAAAAAUUAUUAAUAAAGAUAUUAUUUUAACAAAUUCGAAAAUAGUGCCAUUUGAUCAACAGAAUAAUAAUGAGAUUCGUCCAGUUUUGCAUAAAUGUAAUACGUUGCAUACUAAAUUUAUGAAUCAGAAGGGCGUCAUUAAUAAAAACAGCAAAAAAGGCGACAAUGUUAUAAUGACUUCAACUGCUCAAGAAAUAAAAAAGUUAAACAGAUAUAAUUUAUCUUUGGGAUGUGACAUGAGAUUCAGUAAUGAUGAAAUAUAUUUAAGUAAGAAAAAUGAUAAGAAAAUAGUAGGGAGCAAUAUUGAUGCUUCAACGACCACUGAUGAUUAUAGAGCAAUUACAGAAAUUCAGCCAGGCGAAUAUUUGGAGAAAGGUAAAUUAAGUAAACCCCAAGAAUCUGCUAGAGCCAUCAGCAGUGGUGAAAAACAAGUAACUGACAAAAAAGAAUACUCUUUUAAUAAAUUGAACAAAAAUGAUGUAUCUGAUGCAAUGUUUAUGAUCAGACAUCAUUCUAAUAAUAAUGAUAACAAAACUGAUGGGACAUUUGAUCAUGGGAGGAAAUUAAAGAAGCGGAAGAAAAAAGAGGAAGUACUUCAAUUUGUCUUAGGAUGUCAAGACGAAAACGAAAUACAAGGUUCUGAACAGGGUGUAAUAAAAAAACAAAAAGAGAAUUCUUUGUACCUAAACACUGAAGUAAAGAAGAAAUCUCUUGAAAAGAAGAAUAAGUCCAUGAGACACUGUGUUAAUAAUGAUGAUGUUAAUAAAACUGACGAGAUAUGUAAUAAUGAGAGAAGAUUGAAGAAACGCAAGAGAAAAGAAGAAACAUUUCAAAAUGUCUUAGGAUGUGAAGAAGAAACAUACCAAGAUUCAGGACAUGCAGUUGCGAUGAAACAAACUGGGAACUAUCUGUGUGAAAACAUUGAAGGGGAGAAGAAAUCUGAAAAGGAAAGUAAGUACUUUGGACAUAGUUCAAGUAAUGACGAUAUUCAAAAUAUUGACGAAACAUUUUGUAAUGAAAGAAAAUUGAAGAAACUAAAGUUGAUAGGAGAAGUGUUUCAAAAUAUCUUAGGAUGUGAAGAAGAAAAAGAGUUACAAGAUCUGAGACAUACAGUUGUGCAGAAACAAACGGAAAACUUGUUGUAUCUGAAAACUGACAAGAAGAAGAAGCCACAUGAAAUGGAAAAGAAGAACUUCGGACACUGUUGGAAUAACAAUGAUAAUAGCAUGACCGAUGAGACUGUAAGUAAUGAAAGAAAUUUAAAGAAACGGAAAAGGGAAAAAGAAGUGUUUCAAAAGGUCUUAGAAUUUGAAGCAGAAAAAAAAUUUAAAAAUUCUGAAAAUGAGGUUAUAGAGAAGGAAAAACCAAACCUUCUGCAUUUACAAACUGAACUAAAUAAGAAACAUCCCAAAAAGGGAAAUAAGAAUCUCAGACAUUGUAUUAAUACUAAUGAUACUGAAAAAGCUGGUGGAAUAUGUAAUGAUGAAAGAAAAGGAAAGAGGAAGGAACGGAAGAGUAAAGAAGUAUUUCAAUAUAGUUUAGAGAGUAAACCAGAACAUAAAUUAGAAAAUUCUGGAAAUGGAGUUAUGGAAGAAGAAAAGGAGAAACAUUUGCAUCUAUCGACUGAAGUAAAACAGAAACCCCUUGAAAAAGAAAAUAAACAUUCAAGAUACUAUUCUAAUAAUAAUGAUUUUCAAAAAACUGAUGAGACAUGUGAUAAUGAAAGGAAAUUGAAGAAACGGAAGAAAAAAGAAGUGUUUCAAAAUGUUUUAGGAUGUAAACCAGGAAAAGAAUUAAAAAAUUCUGUAAAUGCAACAAUGGAGGAACAAAAUGAAAAAUCGCUCCUACAGAACACUGACGGGAAGAGAAGAACUUUUGAAAAGGAAUCUAAGGACAACAGCCAAUGUGUUAAUAAUAAUGAUACUCAACAAAAUGAAGUCGUUUUUAAUAAUGCCAGGGAAUUAAAGAAGCAGGACAGAAAAGAAGUGCUCCAAAAUCUUUUUGCUUGCAAACAAGAAAAAAAAUCAAAGGAGUUUGAGAAUGCAGUUUUAGACAAUGAAAACGAAAACUGUCUGCUUCUAAAAACUGAAGUAAAGAAGAAAUGUCGGGAAGGAAAGGAAAACAGGGAUGCCAGACAUUGGUCUGAUAAUUAUAUUCAAAAAAUUGAUGAGACGAUUAUUAAUGUAAGAAAAUUAAAUAAACGGAAGCUGAGGAAUGAAGAAGUAUUUCAAAAUGUCUUAGGAUGUGAAGAAAGAAAAGAAUUACAAGGUUCUGGAAAUGCAUUUAUGGAGAAACAAAUAGAAAACUCUCUAUAUCUAAACACCGAAAGGAAGAAAAAAUCACUUGAAAAAGGAAACAAGUACUUUGGGCAACAUUCUAUUAAUAACACAUUCAUAAUCAAUGAGAACAAAUCUCUGAUAUUCACCCCGCAAUCUUCCCAUGCGAGAAAUAGUAAAAGUUUGAAUUCAACAAAAGAAACGAACGUUACAUUUGGAAAUAACGAGGAAUCUCUAAGCAUUUCUGAUAGGACAGAAAUAGCUGAAACUUUACGUCCUCGCAAUAUCCAAGAGCUAAUCGUUAGUGAGUCCUUAAUACACACGAAUGCAGAGCCCUCAUUAACAUUAAAUGAUAUUUCUGAUGAUGAAGACGUUUGGCUUUUUGAAAUACCUAAAACGAUUCAUCAUCAAAAAUUCAAAGGAAGGAAAAUUAUAAUCAAGGAAAACAAUCUGGUGAAAAUUGGAGAAGAAAAAUAUAAUGCUUUAUGCAUAGACGUUAGGAAAGCCUCUUGUGUUGUUAAUAGUGGCACGCAUAAAAACCAGUACAAAACAGCAGUUUACCACAGCGCUGCGUGCGGCCACUGAAUGAAACUGUAGAGGAAUGCGAUUGCGACGAAAGGAAUACGGGCAGAAGACGAUGAUGAAUACGUCAAUUAACAUCAAGCCAGUCGGCUCAAUCUUGAUUAGAAAGAAACCUAUAAAAUGACCGACUUUUAUGACGAUAUCAGCCAUCAUAGCAUCAUUCCAAAGAGAUUUAUAAUUCCUGAAGAACUGGACAGCUAAACAUGUAUCGUAGCAUCCUGGAAACCCAAAUAAUUAGUUGAAAGUUAUGUCUUUAAGAAACAGACCGAAUUUUGAUGAGUUAUAGACAAGAAUCAGUGGUGCGAAAAGAAAUAAAAGAAAUAAAACGUUCACUAACGAUAAAAUAGAAGUUAACCCUUAGCGCUCCGUUGGCUCCGCUACGGAGACAUUCGUCAUAACAUUACGAAACUUGCGGAGCGCUAAGGGUUAAAUAACUUUCCAUGAUAUCUAUAAAAGAAGAAGCAAUGUCAAAUAAAACCAAUUGUUUAUAGUUACAAGUUGGAAUAAUACCAUUAUGUUUACAAUGAUAUACGAAUUUUUAUGUACAUUUUGUAUAAAAAUAUCUUCUUUACAUAUGUAACAAGUUGUAAUAAUUGUCUUUCGUUUUGUUGAAUGUAUAAUAAAUUCUACCAUUCCUUUUUCUUUCAAA
rnacentral:misc_RNA from 1 species